rnacentral:rRNA from 1 species
GACGAACGCUGGCGGCGUGCCUAAUACAUGCAAGUCGAGCGGACUUAAAAAGCUUGCUUUUUAAGUUAGCGGCGGACGGGUGAGUAACACGUGGGCAGCCUGCCUGUAAGACUGGGAUAACUUCGGGAAACCGGAGCUAAUACCGGAUAAUCCUUUUCUACUCAUGUAGAAAAGCUGAAAGACGGUUUACGCUGUCACUUACAGAUGGGCCCGCGGCGCAUUAGCUAGUUGGUGAGGUAACGGCUCACCAAGGCGACGAUGCGUAGCCGACCUGAGAGGGUGAUCGGCCACACUGGGACUGAGACACGGCCCAGACUCCUACGGGAGGCAGCAGUAGGGAAUCUUCCGCAAUGGACGAAAGUCUGACGGAGCAACGCCGCGUGAGUGAUGAAGGUUUUCGGAUCGUAAAACUCUGUUGUUAGGGAAGAACAAGUACGAGAGUAACUGCUCGUACCUUGACGGUACCUAACCAGAAAGCCACGGCUAACUACGUG